CCCCUUGUGGUGUAGUUGGAUAUCGUAAGUACUCACACAGCCAAAAAGCUGCCCCUGUUAGGCACAUGGCCAUUAUUUCUAACGGAAAAUAGACGUUCGGCUGUAAUGGACUUCGGAUUCUACCUUAUGUUUCGCAAAAGGUCAUAGAUCCCUAUUGUUACCGAAAGGUCACCGGCUCGAUUCCGGUCGAGGGGA
rnacentral:tRNA from 1 species